rnacentral:rRNA from 1 species
CUCCAUCGUCAAAAGGGAAACAGCCCAGAUCAUCAGCUAAGGUCCCUAAUCGAUGCUCAGUUGUAAAGGAAGUCGUUUCGCUCAGACUACUAGGAGGUUGGCUUAGAAGCAACCACCCUUGAAAGAGUGCGUAAUAGCUCACUAGUCGAGUGAUGGGGCGCCGAAAAUGUAACGGGGCUCAAGCAUCUAACCGAAGCUUUGGGAUUACUAAAAUAAUCGGUAGGGGAGCGUUGUAGCGUAGGCUGAAGCUUGACCGUGAGGACAAGUGGACGAACUACAAGUGCGAAUGCAGGUACAAGUAGCGAGAAAAGAGUGUGAGAACCACUCUCGCCGGAAGUCUAAGGUUUCCUGAGCAACGUCAAUCGUCUCAGGGUGAGUCGGGAGCUAAGCCGAGGCUGAGAAGCGUAGGCGAUGCACAAGCAGUUCAUAUUCUGCUACCACCGAUGACCGUUAGAUCUCUCUCGAAUUCUACAGACCGCGUUUAAAACGCGCGGUUUUUAGCGUUCGAGUUGAGAUCUUGAAUCGAAGGGAUAACGCAGGAGGAUAUGUCAGCGCACCGAUGGAUGUGUGCGUUUAAGCAGGUAGGGGGUCACAUAGGCAAAUCCGUGUGGCAACUCCGAGAAGCGAUGACGAGGAUCUUCGGAUCUGAAGUGACAGACUCCACGCUGCCAAGAAAAGUCUCUAGAUAGGAUCAUAGGUGCCCGUACCGUACACCGACACAGGUAGACUGGCAGAGCAUGCUAAGGCGACGGGAGAACCCCUGUUAAGGAACUCGGCAAAUUAACCCCGUAACUUUGGGAGAAGGGGUGCCUUUUUCGGUCUAGUUUUUACAACGAAAGCUGGAGAAGGUCUCAGAAAAUAGGCCCAAGCGACUGUUUAACAAAAACACAGGUCUCUGCGAACGCGAAAGCGGACGUAUAGGGGCUGACUCCUGCCCGGUGCUGGAAGGUUAAAGGGAGAGGUUAGGGCGCAAGCCCAAAGCUUUGAUCUGAAGCCCCAGUAAACGGCGGCGGUAACUAUAACCGUCCUAAGGUGACAACUAUAUCGUUGCCUUGACGCGCAGUAAUGUGCGUCGUAACACUCAGCUAUAUGCGGGAACAUCCUAAGAGCCCACCCUACUCGAUCGGUUCGCCGGUCAGUAAUAAUGGCGUGGGAUUGGACAAUCCGCAGGAAACUUCUGGUCUUUUGAUCGGGAGGAUCCUCAGAGACUAUACGCUGAGCUCCAGAUACGAGUUGAAUCGUGCGCGAUUCUCUUACUGGAUGAAGAUAGAGUCCACUCCGGCGUGAAAGCGCCGGAAAAAAGUGAGCGAAAUUCCUUGUCGGGUAAGUUCCGACCUGCACGAAUGGNNAAAGACCCCAUGAAGCUUUACUGUACCCUGAUGUUGGGGUCUGAGAUUUUCUGUACAGGAUAGGUGGGAGACGAUGAUCCGUGGGCGCUAGUCCGCGGGGAGUCAACGUUGGGAUACCACCCUGAAAAUCUUGGGCUUCUAACUUACUGCCAUUAUCUGGUAGUAGGACAGCGUCAGGCGGGCAGUUUGACUGGGGCGGUCGCCUCCUAAAGAGUAACGGAGGCGCCCAAAGGUUCCCUCAGGACGGUCAGAAACCGUUCGCAUAGAGUGUAUAGGCAAAAGGGAGCUUGACUGCGAGACUUACAAGUCGAGCAGGUGCGAAAGCAGGGCUAAGUGAUCCGGCGGUACCGAAUGGAAGGGCCGUCGCUUAUCGGAUAAAAGCUACUCUGGGGAUAACAGGCUUAUCUCCCCCAAGAGUCACGUCAAGGGCUCUCCGCGCGAGCGAUCGCGCGGCAAACUAGCGACUCAUAUCGGUGAAACCCUACGGGGCAAUACCGAGGGAAGAACGUUCACCAUCAUUUAUGAUGGGCUAAACUCACGCGAGCACGCCUCGUGAACGUUCCCUGUAACGACUCCACAACGUGUGGGAUGGACGCUCCUCGCCGGCAACGGCGAAAUUUAUAGCGUUCAUAAUACGUCGCUCUCUCGAAAGAGAUGAAGGUAUAGUCUAAGCUGCAAGAGAUUGCAGAUUGCCACAUCGACGGGGAGGUUUGGCACCUCGAUGUCGGAUCGUCGCAUCCUGGGGCUGUAGUAGGUCCCAAGGGUUGGGCUGUUCGCCCAUUAAAGCGGUACGCGAUCUGGGUUCAGAACGUCGUGAGACAGUUCGGU